CCCGGAUGCUCUGAAUGCCACAAGAGCUGCUGUUGACAAAAGAGUCACCUGGAUGCUUUGCUUCAGUGCGUUCCAGGCUUGGAUUCACUGAUCCAGCUAAAUGAAGAGCAAAAAAUUGGUACAGAAAUCAUUCAAAGAACACUCAAAACUCUGGCAAUGACCGUUGCUAAGAAUGCAGGUGUUGAAGGAUAACGGAUAGUUGAGAAAUUUUUGCAAACUUCCUCUGAAGCUGGUUAUGCACCAUGCUGGGCAAUUUUUAAAAUAUGGUGGCAAAAGGAAUCGUCAACCCAACUCAGAUGUUUGGAAAACACAGCAGAAAGAUCCAGAGAGGUGCUUCACUCCCGCAAAGGCCCAACCUCCGCGGCAGGAAGAAUGUAUCCAGGAAAGUUCUCGGAGCCAGGCUCGUCAGACCAGAUCUGCUAGGCUCCGGGUGGCUGUCGUGGAGCUAAUGUUCCUGGACCGUAUCAUCCUGAGAGGGGCAGAAGGUUGGGCACAGAGGAGCUGCUGGGUGUUUUGUGAGUCUGAGCUGAAGCUGAUUAUCACGUCUGGAUGUUACGCAAGUUCUUCCUCACAACCCGGCCUUCUAGCUCAGGAAGGAGCUGUGUCUCAUUCAUCUUGGCAGCCCAGCUCAAGUCCAACAGACAGACGAGCCAACCUUUGGCCACCGUGGGACAAAGAACCCGAGCGGCAAAAAGCUCCCUAGGCUGAGAAGUGUCCCCAGAUUAAACUGUUCCCACUGGCCAGACCUCUCUGCCCCCACCGCUGGCCCGGACUCCCUGAGCUGGCAUCUGGUAUCUCACGGGCUCCCCAGUCCGGCCACAGAGCUACAGCAUGUCACCGGGAGGGUCUUUCCUGGCCCGUGGAACACUGACUCCACAUCACUGAUUUCAUAGACGAAACAUCAUAGGCUUACAGGAAGGAAGGG